GAUGAACGCUAGCUACAGGCUUAACACAUGCAAGUCGAGGGGAAACGGCAUUAAGUGCUUGCACUUUUUGGACGUCGACCGGCGCACGGGUGAGUAACGCGUAUCCAACCUUCCCAUGACUAAGGGAUAACCUGCCGAAAGGCAGACUAAUACCUUAUGGUCUUCACUGACGGCAUCAGAUGUGAAGUAAAGAUUUAUCGGUUAUGGAUGGGGAUGCGUCUGAUUAGCUUGUUGGCGGGGUAACGGCCCACCAAGGCAACGAUCAGUAGGGGUUCUGAGAGGAAGGUCCCCCACAUUGGAGCUGAGACACGGUCCAAACUCCUACGGGAGGCAGCAGUGAGGAAUAUUGGUCAAUGGGCGAGAGCCUGAACCAGCCAAGUAGCGUGCAGGAUGACGGCCCUAUGGGUUGUAAACUGCUUUUGUAUGGGGAUAAAGUCAAUCACGUGUGAUUGUUUGCAGGUACCAUACGAAUAAGGACCGGCUAAUUCCGUG
rnacentral:rRNA from 1 species